rnacentral:rRNA from 1 species
UACUCGAGUGGCGAACGGGUGAGUAACACGUGGGUGAUCUGCCUUGCACUUCGGGAUAAGCCUGGGAAACUGGGUCUAAUACCGGAUAGGACCAUGCUUUAGUGUGUGUGGUGGAAAGUUUUUCGGUGCAAGAUGAGCCCGCGGCCUAUCAGCUUGUUGGUGGGGUAAUGGCCUACCAAGGCGACGACGGGUAGCCGGCCUGAGAGGGUGUACGGCCACAUUGGGACUGAGAUACGGCCCAG